CCUUGGACGGGUGAGUAACGCGUGGGCAACCUGCCUUCCACUGGGGGAUAACACAGGGAAACCUGUGCUAAUACCGCAUGACAUCACAUAGGGCAUCCUGUGUGAUCAAAGGAGUGAUCCGGUGGAAGAUGGGCCCGCGUCCGAUUAGCUAGUUGGUGAGGUAACGGCUCACCAAGGCGACGAUCGGUAGCCGGACUGAGAGGUUGGCCGGCCACAUUGGGACUGAGACACGGCCCAGACUCCUACGGGAGGCAGCAGUGGGGAAUAUUGCGCAAUGGGGGGAACCCUGACGCAGCGACGCCGCGUGAAGGAAGAAGGCCUUCGGGUUGUAAACUUCUUUGAUGAGGGACGAAGGAAGUGACGGUACCUCAAAAACAAGCCACGGCUAACUACGUGCCAGCAGCCGCGGUAAUACGUAGGUGGCGAGCGUUGUCCGGAAUUACUGGGUGUA
rnacentral:rRNA from 1 species